rnacentral:rRNA from 1 species
GACAAUGGCCAUGUCACAUUGACUGCACCAGUUCUUGUCCAAUCACCAAAGUUAAGCAAUGUUGAGCCUUGUUAGUACUUAGAUGGGUGACUAGUUGGGAAACCAAGGUGCUGUAAGCA